UAAUUUCCCUUGUUACUGUAAAGAAAUAUGCUGCCAUGACAAAAUUCCAUCUAACAUGAUGUCUUUAAUAAAUCAAAACACAAAAAAGCAAUAGGAAAAAAUAAGUGAAAAUGGGGUUAAGGCUCUUCUUGGGUCUCGCUAUCAGAGUGAGGCUAUGCAAUGAGGUAGCCAUCCCUAUAGGAGAUUUCAAGUUUGUUUCAAUAUAUUAAAAAAGAAAAAAAAAACUAAUAAUCAACAAAUUAUUGUUGAGAAAUUAGAGAGAAAUAAUAUAUUUUUCAAUUUUUUGACAGUUCAUCAAUAUUACCUCUUUGAUGCACAAAAUCAAUUGAUAUUGGAACAUAAAAAAAAGACGAAUCUAUAUAGGGCUACUGAAGCUAAUCUCAAUAUAUUUGAAACAAAUAAAAAAAUUAUAAAACAUUGUUGAGUAAUUAAGGAGAAACAAUAGAUUUAGCGGAACAUGUACAGUUCAUCGAUAUUAUCUAUAGGAUGUAAUAAAUCAAAUGAUAUUGAAGCAAACAAACACAA
rnacentral:lncRNA from 1 species